CCUUUGCAGAGUGUGAUUGUUUUGUCUGGAAAAAAAAAAUCCAAAGUAUAUAACAAGGGGAGAACAGUUAGUGCUGAUUUUCAUUUGCAUACAUUUUCAUAUAUUUUGGUGAAAAUAAUAGACUAGUGGAGAGCUGGGCUUAGGGAGUCAGUGUAAAGGCAAGACUAAGGAAGCGGCGGUUCUGGGGAGUUGAGAAUAUAUCUCUGCCCCCCCCACCCAGGUCACCUUAUUUAUUUUUUUUUAAAAUCUUCUUUUAUUUUAAAAUCUAACCCUGGAGGUUUGCUCGAAUUAUAUGUAUUACAAGUAAUUCAGAAAAUACACAUGAGCAGAACUUAAGAAAACAAAAAUCACCUGUAAUCCCAUCAUUCGGAGAUAGCCUUUCUUGAUAUUUUGGGUGUGUGGUAUUUACAUCUAUAUGCAUAUCUAGCAUAUAUAUGAGACUCAGACAACAUGUAUUAUCGGGGCCUUACCCUCAGCACAUAAAAGUUCCCAGUCUAGGGGUCGAAUUGGAGCUGCAGCAGCCGGCCUACACCAC
rnacentral:lncRNA from 1 species